CAUUUUUGUCUUUAAUUUAUUCGAGUUUAUAUAUUUAUGUUUAAUUUAUUUCUUUACUUAGUAAUAUUGAUCACCUUCUGCUAAUAUACAACAAAAGUAAUAAUAAUAGGCAACUAAAUCGUCAACUACUUGAAAAUGAUCGUGUGUCUUAAAUUCUCAACUAAGAAAUCAGAAAUUAUUUAAUCCUGUUGAAAAUAAUUAAAAUUGUGAACUACACUAAGCAUAAAUUAUAAAAUAAGAAUCAUCAUUCAUCUAUAAUGAUCGUCUAUUAUUCAGCCACAAAAUUUGUUGAGUGGA